UACAGAGGGUGCGAGCGUUGUCCGGAAUCACUGGGCGUAAAGGGCGCGUAGGUGGUGGCUUAAGCGUGCGGUGAAAGCUCGGGGCUCAACUCCGAGUCGGCCGUGCGAACUGGGCUCACUGGAGCAUAGUAGAGGCAGGUGGAAUUCCGGGUGUAGCGGUGGAAUGCGUAGAGAUCCGGAAGAACACCGGUGGCGAAGGCGGCCUGCUGGACUAUGGCUGACACUGAGGCGCGAAAGCGUGGGGAGCAAACAGG
rnacentral:rRNA from 1 species